AGAGUUUGAUCCUGGCUCAGAUUGAACGCUGGCGGCAUGCUUUACACAUGCAAGUCGAACGGUAACAGGUCUUCGGAUGCUGACGAGUGGCGAACGGGUGAGUAAUACAUCGGAACGUGNCUAGUAGUGGGGGAUAACUACUCGAAAGAGUAGCUAAUACCGCAUGAGAUCUACGGAUGAAAGCAGGGGACCUUUGGGCCUUGUGCUACUAGAGCGGCUGAUGGCAGAUUAGGUAGUUGGUGGGGUAAAGGCUUACCAAGCCUGCGAUCUGUAGCUGGUCUGAGAGGACGACCAGCCACACUGGGACUGAGACACGGCCCAGACUCCUACGGGAGGCAGCAGUGGGGAAUUUUGGACAAUGGGCGAAAGCCUGAUCCAGCAAUGCCGCGUGCAGGAUGAAGGCCCUCGGGUUGUAAACUGCUUUUGUACGGAACGAAAAGCCUGGGGCUAAUAUCCCCGGGUCAUGACGGUACCGUAAGAAUA
rnacentral:rRNA from 1 species